GAUGAACGCUAGCGGCAGGCUUAACACAUGCAAGUCGAGGGGCAGCAUGAGGGUUAGCAAUAACCCUUGAUGGCGACCGGCGCAAGGGUGCGUAACGCGUGAGCAACUUGCCCGUUUCAGGGGGAUAACCGGUGGAAACGCCGACUAAUACCCCAUGGUGAUGGUUUGAGGCAUCUCUUUCCAUCUAAAGAAUUUCGGAAACGGAUAGGCUCGCGUGACAUUAGCCAGAUGGCGGGGUAACGGCCCACCAUGGCGACGAUGUCUAGGGGUUCUGAGAGGAAGGUCCCCCACACUGGAACUGAGACACGGUCCAG
rnacentral:rRNA from 1 species